rnacentral:rRNA from 1 species
AUUGAACGCUGGCGGCAUGCUUUACACAUGCAAGUCGAACGGCAGCACGGGUGCUUGCACCUGGUGGCGAGUGGCGGACGGGUGAGUAAUACAUCGGGAACGUGUCCAGAAGAGGGGGAUAACGCAUCGAAAGAUGUGCUAAUACCGCAUAUGCUCUGAGGAGGAAAGUGGGGGAUCGAAAGACCUUACGCUUUUGGAGCGGCCGAUGUCUGAUUAGCUAGUUGGUGGGGUAAGGGCCUACCAAGGCGACGAUCAGUAGUUGGUCUGAGAGGACGACCAGCCACACUGGGACUGAGACACGGCCCAGACUCCUACGGGAGGCAGCAGUGGGAAUUUUGGACAAUGGGCGCAAGCCUGAUCCAGCAAUGCCGCGUGAGUGAAGAAGGCCU